rnacentral:rRNA from 1 species
UGGGGAAUCUUGCGCAAUGGGCGAAAGCCUGACGCAGCAACGCCGCGUGCGGGAAGAAGGCCUUCGGGUUGUAAACCGCUUUCAGCAGGAACGAAAAUGACGGUACCUGCAGAAGAAGGUGCGGCCAACUAUGUGCCAGCAGCCGCGGUGAUACAUAGGCACCAAGCGUUGUCCGGAUUUAUUGGGCGUAAAGAGCUCGUAGGCGGUUCAGUCAGUCGGGGGGGAAAACUCUGGGCUUAACCCAGAGCC